rnacentral:rRNA from 1 species
GCUCAGAAUGACGUGCGGCGUGGAUUAGGCAUGCAAGUCGCACGAGAAACCAAUUAGCUUGCUAUGAGGUGGACAGUGGCGAAAGGGAGAGUAACGCGUGGUUACAUGCCCUCGAGACCGGGAUAGUGUCGGGAAACUGGCAGUAAUACCGGAUAACAUCUUCGGAUCAAAUGGUGUGAUUCCGCUCGAGGAUUGGACCGCGUACUAUUAGCUUGUUGGUGAGGUAAUGGCUCACCAAGGCUGCGAUGGUUACCGGGUGUGAGAGCAUGGCCCGGCUCACUGGGACUGAGACACUGCCCAGACAUCUACGGAUGGCUGCAGUCGAGAAUCUUCGGCAAUGGACGAAAGUCUGACCGAGCGACGCCGCGUGCGGGAUGAAGGCCCUCGGGUUGUAAACCGCUGUCAGUUGUUAGGAAAUCCAUGAGGGUUCUCUCUCAUGGUUGACCGAUCUUCAGAGGAAGGACGGGCUAAGUUCGUGCCAGCAGCCGCGGUAAGACGAACCGUCCGAACGUUAUUCGGUAUCACUGGGCUUAAAGCGUGCGUAGGCGGCUUGGUAGGUGAGAUGUGAAAGCCCACGGCUCAACCGUGGAAUUGCGUUUCAAACCCCCAAGCUCGAGGAAGAUAGGGGUGAUGGGAACUUAUGGUGGAGCGGUGAAAUGCGUUGAUAUCAUAGGGAACACCGGUGGCGAAAGCGCAUCACUGGAUCUUUUCUGACGCUGAGGCACGAAAGCUAGGGUAGCGAACGGGAUUAGAUACCCCGGUAGUCCUAGCCGUAAACGAUGAGCACUGGGUUGAGGGAACUUCCACAUUCUCUCGGCCGUAGCGAAAGCGUUAAGUGCUCCGCCUGGGGAGUAUGGUCGCAAGGCUGAAACUCAAA